rnacentral:rRNA from 1 species
UACGUAGGGUGCAAGCGUUAAUCGGAAUUACUGGGCGUAAAGCGUGCGCAGGCGAUUUUGUAAGUCUGUCGUGAAAUCCCCGGGCUUAACCUGGGAAUGGCAUUGGUGACUGCACGGCUAGAGUGUGUCAGAGGGGGGUAGAAUUCCACGUGUAGCAGUGAAAUGCGUAGAGAUGUGGAGGAAUACCGAUGGCGAAGGCAGCCCCCUGGGAUAACACUGACGCUCAUGCACGAAAGCGUGGGGAGCAAACAGG